rnacentral:misc_RNA from 1 species
GGAAGGAUCAUUAUUGAAUGUUAGUACUAUGUACUAUGGCACCGCUUUUUGUCCCAACCAGUGGAUACGUAUAACAAUGUGAAAUUGACUGAUACCACGAAAUAAAAUGAAUACAACUUUCAACAACGGAUCUCUUGGCUCUCAUAUCGAUGAAGAACGUAGCAAAUUGCGAAAAGUAAUGUGAAUUGCAGAAUUCAGUGAAUCAUCGAAUCUUUGAACGCAUCUUGCACUCUCUGGUAUUCCGGAGAGUAUGUCUGUUUGAGCAUCCUGUACUCCCAUCAAAGAUCUGAUCUUUGGACGAUGAGUGCUAUUUGUCCAGUACAAAUUCACUUGAAAUGCAUAGUUCUGCCUGUGCUGGCGCGGCCCCGGCAACGGUGGUUGCGGCCAACGGUCGGUGCGAGUCCACUUGGCUCGCGUGGGGGGAUGAACAUAGUCGUUCUCCUGCCCGUCUUUACUGGCGGCAAGCGUUCGUAGACUGGUCAAGCCAUUGUUCACUCAAUGAUUGUCAGUUUGCGCAUGCGUGCCACCCAGUAAAGACUGGAAGGUGUAGAAUGGACUCACUGGAGUGUCCCCAGCCCAGCAAUGGGCAACCAUGCGUGUGAAGACGCAUCGGGCCGGAAGCCGCAAACAGCGGAGCCGCUGGUGCCCAGUACGGAAUGCGUGCCAGAGUAAUCUAGUGCGUGUGGGCAGAGCAACCCAGCACCUCGGUGCCAUACAAAGUUAUGGAUCUCAAAUCAGACAAGACUACCCGCUGAAUUUAAGCAUAUAACUAAGCGGAGGAAAAGAAACUAACUAGGAUUCCUUCAGUAACGGCGAGCGAAGCAGGAAUAGCUCAAUUUUGAAAUCUGCCCUGGGUUACACUGGGGCUGAAUUGUAGUUUCAAGAAGCAUGGUAGAUGGCAGGCAGCUGGGUACAAGUCUCUUGGAACAGAGCAUCAUAGAGGGUGAGAAUCCCGUCCAUGGCCCAGCGAGCACUGUUCUUAUUGCCGGCUUUCGAAGAGUCAGGUUGUUUGGGAUUGCAGCCUAAAAUGGGUGGUAAAUUUCAUCUAAAGCUAAAUAACGAUGAGAGACCGAUAGCGAACAAGUACCGUGAGGGAAAGAUGAAAAGUACUCUGAAGAGAGAGUUAAAAGUACGUGAAAUUGUUGAAAGGGAAACACUUGGAACUAGUCCAGGCUGGCAGUGAGUCAGCCGGCUGUCGUGUUUGGGCGGCGGGUCCGGAUCAAGCAAUUGACUGGGGCCCGUUGCAGAAGCGCGUUGGCCGGUGUAUCUUACUGUGGGCGAGUCAACAUCAGUCUGGUGGAGGGGAGAAAGGCGCCUGGAAGUUCUGCGAACGGUCCUAGACCGCUUGCGGAAGCCGGGUGUUGAUGCCCUCGGGCAGACUGAGGAGAGCACUGGCCGUUUACUGGCGGGCGAGUGUUGCGUCUGUGGGGUGGGAACAGUCUGACUGGUCCCGCUGUGCGGGCGCUCCACGCGCUGCCGGCCUAGCGGCACAGUAUGGAUGUUGGCGCAAUGGUUUCAAAUGACCCGUCUUGAAACACGGACCAAGGAGUCUAACAUGGAUGCGAGUAUUUGGGUGGAAUAAACCCAUAUGCGCAAUGAAAGUGAACGUGUGGGAAUUCCGUGGCAACAUGGAAUGCACCAUUGACCGAUCUUGUCUAGCUUCGGCUUGAUAGAUUUGAGUAAGAGCAUGCAUGCUGGGACCCGAAAGAUGGUGAACUAUGCCUGAAUAGGGUGAAGUCAGACGAAAGUCUGAUGGAGGCUCGUAGCGAUUCUGACGUGCAAAUCGAUCGUCAAAUUUGGGUAUAGUGGCGAAAGACUAAUCGAACCAUCUAGUAGCUGGUUCCUGC